AUUGAACGCUGGCGGCAUGCCUUACACAUGCAAGUCGAACGGCAGCACGGGAGCAAUCCUGGUGGCGAGUGGCGAACGGGUGAGUAAUACAUCGGAACGUGCCCAGUAGUGGGGGAUAACCCGGCGAAAGCCGGACUAAUACCGCAUACGACCUACGGGUGAAAGCAGGGGAUCGCAAGACCUUGCGCUAUCGGAGCGGCCGAUGUCAGAUUAGCUUGUUGGCGGGGUAAAAGCCCACCAAGGCGACGAUCUGUAGCUGGUCUGAGAGGACGACCAGCCACACUGGGACUGAGACACGGCCCAGACUCCUACGGGAGGCAGCAGUGGGGAAUUUUGGACAAUGGGCGCAAGCCUGAUCCAGCCAUGCCGCGUGCGGG
rnacentral:rRNA from 1 species